UCCCUUGUGGCUCAGUUGGUAGAGCAUGGUGUUUGCAAUGCCAGCGUUGUGGGUUUGAUUCCCACUGGGGAC
rnacentral:tRNA from 1 species